rnacentral:rRNA from 1 species
GGGUUCGCCCCAUCCUAAAGACCCCUGGCCAACUACCAGGUUGAUAGGCUAUAGGUAUAAACAGUGUAAGCUGUGAGCCAAGUAGUACUAAUCGGUCGUGAGGCUUGACCAU